rnacentral:rRNA from 1 species
UACAGAGGUCUCAAGCGUUGUUCGGAUUCAUUGGGCGUAAAGGGCGCGUAGGCGGCGUGACAAGUCACUUGUGAAAUCUCCGGGCUUAACCCGGAGCGGCCAAGUGAUACUGUCGUGCUAGAGUGCGGAAGGGGCUACUGGAAUUCUCGGUGUAGCGGUGAAAUGCGUAGAUAUCGAGAGGAACACCUGCGGCGAAGGCGGGUAGCUGGGCCGACACUGACGCUGAGGCGCGAAAGCCAGGGGAGCGAACGGG